rnacentral:rRNA from 1 species
GACGAACGCUGGCGGCGUGCCUAAUACAUGCAAGUUGAGCGCUGAAGGUUGGUACUUGUACCAACUGGAUGAGCAGCGAACGGGUGAGUAACGCGUGGGGAAUCUGCCUUUGAGCGGGGGACAACAUUUGGAAACGAAUGCUAAUACCGCAUAAAAACUUUAAACACAAGUUUUAAGUUUGAAAGAUGCAAUUGCAUCACUCAAAGAUGAUCCCGCGUUGUAUUAGCUAGUUGGUGAGGUAAAGGCUCACCAAGGCGAUGAUACAUAGCCGACCUGAGAGGGGGAUCGGCCACAUUGGGACUGAGACACGGCCCAAAAUCCUACGGGAGGCAGCAGUAGGGAAUCUUCGGCAAUGGACGAAAGUCUGACCGAGCAACGCCGCGUGAGUGAAGAAGGUUUUCGGAUCGUAAAACUCUGUUGGUAGAGAAGAAAGUUGGUGAGAGUGGAAAGCUCAUCAAGUGACGGUAACUACCCAGAAAGGGACGGCUAACUACGUG